UAGUACUCUUAUUAAUUAAAAAUUAAUUAGUAAGAAUUCUUAAACUUAAAGUCUUGGCGGCUAAUUAACUAGUUAGAGAGUCUUGUUUAUAUAAAUGAUAAUACACAUUCUACUGUUCUUUUACUAUAAAUUAUCUUGUAUACCGUUGUAAAGAAAAGUUAAAAAUAAUUUUUCAGCAAAUUCUAGAUAUAUUUAAUUACAGAUUAGGUGCAGAGAAUGUAAAAGUUUAAAUGAGACGCAUAUAAAUAUUGAAUUUCUUAAUUGAAAAAUUUGAAAUUGUAAGAAUUUAAUAGUAAUAGUUAUUAAUUUAAUAAAUAUGAAUAAAGUAUAAAUUAGUG
rnacentral:rRNA from 1 species